GGACGCUUUCGGGGGUUUCGGCCUUCGAGGGAGUGGCGGACGGGUGAGUAGCGCGUGGGAACCUGCCCCUUUGUGGGGGAUAACCGAGGGAAACUUCGGCUAAUACCGCAUGCGCCCGCGGGGGAGACCUUGCGGGGAAAGAUUUAUCGCAGAGGGAGGGGCCCGCGUCGGAUUAGGUAGUUGGUGGGGUAAUGGCCUACCAAGCCGGUGAUCCGUAGCUGGUCUGAGAGGAUGAUCAGCCACACUGGGACUGAGACACGGCCCAGACUCCUACGGGAGGCAGCAGUGGGGAAUAUUGGACAAUGGGCGCAAGCCUGAUCCAGCAAUGCCGCGUGAGUGAUGAAGGCCUUAGGGUUGUAAAGCUCUUUCGGCGGGGACGAUGAUGACGGUACCCGCAGAAGAAGCCCCGGCUAACUUCGUG
rnacentral:rRNA from 1 species